rnacentral:rRNA from 1 species
UACAGAGGUCUCAAGCGUUUGUUCGGAUUCAUUGGGCGUAAAGGGUGCGUAGGUGGCGGGGUAAGUCAGGUGUGAAAUUUCGGAGCUUAACUCCGAAACUGCAUUUGAUACUGCCUUGCUUGAGGACUGGAGAGGAGACUGGAAUUCAUGGUGUAGCAGUGAAAUGCGUAGAGAUCAUGAGGAAGACCAGUGGCGAAGGCGGGUCUCUGGACAGUUCCGUGA